rnacentral:rRNA from 1 species
CAGUCGAACGGAGUUACGAUGAAACCUAGUGAUUCGUAACUUAGUGGCGGACGUGUGAGUAACGCGUGGAUAACCUGCCUUGCACUGGGGGAUAACACUUAGAAAUAGGUGCUAAUACCGCAUAAGCGCACGGAGCCGCAUGGCUCAGUGUGAAAAACUCCGGUGGUGUAAGAUGGAUCCGCGUCUGAUUAGCUGGUUGGCGGGGUAGAAGCCCACCAAGGCGACGAUCAGUAGCCGGCCUGAGAGGGUGAACGGCCACAUUGGGACUGAGACACGGCCCAAACUCCUACGGGAGGCAGCAGUGGGGAAUAUUGCACAAUGGGGGAAACCCUGAUGCAGCAACGCCGCGUGAGUGAAGAAGUCAUUCGUGAUGUAAAGCUCUAUCAGCAGGGAAGAAAAUGACGGUACCUGAGUAAGAAGCCCCGGCUAACUACGUGCCAGCAGCCGCGGUAAUACGUAGGGGGCAAGCGUUAUCCGGAUUUACUGGGUGUAAAGGGAGCGUAGACGGCCAGACAAGUCUGAAGUGAAAAUCCAGCGCUUAACGUUGGAAGUGCUUUGGAAACUGCCGGGCUAGAGUGCAGGAGGGGCAGGCGGAAUUCCUAGUGUAGCGGUGAAAUGCGUAGAUAUUAGGAGGAACACCAGUGGCGAAGGCGGCCUGCUGGACUGCAACUGACGUUGAGGCUCGAAGGCGUGGGGAGCAAACAGGAUUAGAUACCCUGGUAGUCCACGCGGUAAACGAUGAUUACUAGGUGUCGGGGGGCUAGAGCCCUUC